GUGGUAACACACACUGGAGGACCGAACCGACUAGUGUUGCAAAAUUAGCGGAUGAGCUGUGGAUAGGGGUGAAAGGCUUAACAAAUCUGGAGAUAGCUGGUUCUCCCCGAAAACUAUUGAGGUAGUGCCUCGUGUAUUGCUCCAGGGGGUAGAGCACUGUUAUGGCUAGGGGGACAUGGCGUCUUACCAAACCAUGGCAAACUCCGAAUACUUGGAAGUAAGAGCACGGGAGACAGAGCACCGGGUGCUAACGUCCGGACUCAAGAGGGAAACAACCCAGACCGCCGUUUAAGGUCCCAAAUAUUGACUAAGUGGAAAACGAAGUGUGAAGGCUAAGACAGUCAGGAAGUUGGCUUAGAAGCAGCCAUCCUUCAAAGAAAGCGUAAUAGCUCACUGAUCGAGUCCUCAUGCGCGGAAGAUGUAACGGGGCUAAGUCAAUAACCGAAAGCGCGGAUUUGCAUGAAAAUGCAAGUGGUAGGGGAGCGUUCUGUAAGCCUGCGAAGGUGGUUCGAGAGGACUGCUGGAGGUAUCAGAAGUGCGAAUGCUGACAUGAGUAACGUUAAAGCGGGUGAAAAGCCCGCUCGCCGUAAGCCCAAGGUUUCCUGCUCUACGUUCAUCGGAGCAGGGUGAGUCGGCCCCUAAGGCCAGGCUGAGAAGCGUAGUCGAUGGGAAGCAGAUUAAUAUUUCUGCACCAUGUGCAAGUGCGAUGGGGGGACGGAGUGCGAAAGAUCAUCCGGGUGUUGGAUGUCCCGGUUUGUGAGUGUAGAAGGCCGACAGGCAAAUCCGUCGGCAGAUCUUCGAGACAAAGCAUCGAGGUUCUACGGAACCGAAGUGAUCGGAAGUGCUUCCAGGAAAAGCCUCUAAGCUUCAGCUUGUACAUGACCGUACCGUAAACCGACACUGGUGGGCGAGUUGAAUAUACUCAGGCGCUUGAGAGAACUCGGGAGAAGGAACUCGGCAAAUUGACACCGUAACUUCGGGAUAAGGUGUGCCUUUGUAGCGUGAAGAGAGAAACACUCGGAGCGUGAAGAGGCCUCAGAGAAUCGGUGGCUGCAACUGUUUAUUAAAAACACAGCACUCUGCAAAGACGAAAGUCGACGUAUAGGGUGUGAUGCCUGCCCGGUGCUGGAAGAUUAAGUGAUGGGGUGAGAGCUCCUGAUCGAAGUCCCAGUAAACGGCGGCCGUAACUAUAACGGUCCUAAGGUAGCGAAAUUCCUUGUCGGGUAAGUUCCGACCUGCACGA
rnacentral:rRNA from 1 species